AUGGAUUCAUUUCAGCUAUCGGGUGGCAACACCAGCUCUGGCGUCUCAUCACUGCAACUGAGGUUCAGCCCCUUUACAGCGACGCAACUCGGAUCUGCGACAGUCAUGAGAUUCUCCUCUUUCAAAACUUCACACCUCUGAGAAGAGUGCUUCACUAACUGCUGAUCUUCCUGGACAUGUCAUUC
rnacentral:lncRNA from 1 species